CAGUAGCCGCGGGAAUACGAAGGGUGCAAGCGUUAAUCGGAAUUACUGGCGUAAAGCGUGCGUAGGCGGUGAGUUAAGUCUGCUGUGAAAUCCCCGGGCUCAACCUGGGAAUGGCAGUGGAUACUGGCUCGCUAGAGUGUGUCAGAGGAUGGUGGAAUUCCCGGUGUAGCGGUGAAAUGCGUAGAGAUCGGGAGGAACAUCAGUGGCGAAGGCGGCCAUCUAGGACAACACUGACGCUGAGGCACGAAAGCGUGGGGAGCAAACAGGAUUAGAUACCCGGGUAGUCCCUGUCUCUUAUACA
rnacentral:rRNA from 1 species